UUUUAAGUGUAUGUACUUCCCCUUGCCCGCCCCUCAUGGUUCGUGUCUUCACUCCUUCCCUACCUGUUUUCUCCAGGGUCGUGGGGGUAUGCUGGAGCCUAUCCCAGCUGCCUUCGGGCGAGAGGCGGGAUACACCCUGGACUGGUUGCCAGCCAAUCGCAGGGCACCAUUCACACCUAUGGACAAUUUAGAGUCGCCAAAACAUGCAUGUUUUUGGAAUGUGGAAGGAAACGGGAGAACAUGCAAACUCCACACAGAGAUGCCCAACGGAGAGUCGAACCCAGGUCUUCCCGAUCUCCUGACUGUGUGGCCAACAUGCUAACUGCUUGGCCACUGUGCGGCCCGACAUCGAUUGUAUAUUACAUAUUUUUGACUCGUUGCCUGCGACCCACUCAGAAUGGAUCCGUGGCCCAUUUUUGAUUCCCGACUCCCAGUUGAGAACAACUGUACUACUUGUAUACUAUACUUGAAUUUCUUCAAGGUUGGCGGGUCUCUCGGUGUCUUCAUUCAUGCCUGAGUGAUGCUGGUCCCAGCAACGCAUCUGGUGGUUUGUACAGAUAAAUAAAUAAAUAAACACUACAGGUUGUCAGUAUAGUAUUCCAAUUCAGGGGGGCGUCGCCUGUGGGUGGGCAUGACAAAGUCAUCGAGAACCCCUGCAUUAAGAAGUGAUAGAGGAGGAAAACAAAUGUUAGCAACCCUAGCAUAGCUACAGUAUGUGAGCCACAGUGCCAGCAUUGCAGUCACAUUUGAACAGCAGCGUCAUGCUAGGUUAGCCUAUUUGCUGAAGAAAUCCAAAGUACUUCUGUCACGUUUAGUGCUGACUGAUGAUUAGUUGGCAGGGCUUUAUUUCAAGAUGCGUAGCAAAGCCUGAUUUACAUCGCUGCAUACAUUAUUGGUAAACCACCGUCUAGCCUCUUCACGGAAGGAAAACAAAAUGAUCAAACUUAGAGCUCCCACAUGUGGAGCGCCAGGCUUUAAGAUGCAUAGCGAAGCCUGCUUUUCAACCAAGUGAGGGUGAUGAUUGAUUUUUCUCUCUGUCUUGCUCUCGGCACACACAUUACUUUUAGAACAUCAUUAAAAAGUCAAUUCUGCAUAAUAAGGGACCUUAAAAGAUUCAUUGUGCACAAACAAGACUGUAGCCUCAUUCAGUCAUCUUUUUCAACAUGUUUUACCCGCUUUGAUCGUUCCCCACAUCCACCACCACCACGUUUGUCUCUUUGUAUUGUUGAUUUAUUCGGGGAUCAGAGAGGAGGAGGACGGGGGGGUGGCACCAGGGGAUGAGUAGCAUCUUUUCAAAUCAAAAGAAGACAGUUGGAAAUGUAUGCAAGGCGCGCGUGUCUGCUUGUGAAUAAUCUGCACACGAGGGCUCGGCCAAAAACGACAAUCCUUUAAAUGCUUGUUUUAAAGUUGACACAGACUUAAAUUAUGAUGGCGUGAGCACUAAUGCAUGACAUAGCACCAGGGGACUUUUGAGUUUUUAAGGUGGAGCAGCAAAAUUCCUUUCACUGAACUGUUUGUUUCAGGAUUUGUCAGUAAUAAAUGAAACACAAAAGCACAUGAAGGUCAUUUUAAUCGCUUGUUAAUGUUCCAGACAUUGUCCAUGGUUGUUCUGGAAAUAAAGUAGCCAUAGAUAGUGUCAAGGACUUCCCCUGUAGACAUAAUACAGUAAAACACAACAACUUCACAGUUAAAACAAAUCCCCAAGGGACAGAUAUAAAAGAAUAAAAACAUCAGUUAGAAGGUAGCUGCAGGCACUAGAUCUCGGCAAUGACAUGCUUUUUAUGCAUGGCUUUUUAGCAGCUACCCUUAAACAGGUCUUUGUGGGAGGUAAACGUGGUGCAGUGGAGAGGCACGGCCAAAAGAGGGAGCCAGAGAGUUACAAGUUACAGCGCUCCCGAAGUCCCAUUUAUUUGGUACAAGUGUCUUCUGGUUUGCGAAACGCCCCCUAAAUGUACUUCACAACAAGUAUUAUGGAGGUUUUUCAUCGGCUCAACGUGAAGCAAUUGAUGAAAAAACAUAAAACAGCAGAGAAAUUAUGAUAUUGAACGAUAAUGGAAUAAUACAUGUUUUAAUUUCACAUAAAGUAGGCUAGAUACAAACAAGUACCUGAUGCGCGACACUGACCAGACAUUUUGGCUGCACUGGAUCAUUUCUGGGAAUUUUCCAUGGGAAGAUCAGCUAAGGAAUGUUGGAAGUAGUACAUUUCUUUUUAAAUAAAUAUUUUCAUUGUAAUGGCUAAAUUAAGGGGAAUUUAAUUGAAUUAUUUAUUUAAUUUAAGCAAAGAUAAAUGUUAAGAAAAUACACAUAUGAAUGUAACCGAGUACAAUACCAUUCAAAUGUUUGGAGACACUUGCUCAUGCUAUUGAAUGAGAAUUUUUAGGGUUUAAAAACAUUUUUUUAUUGCUUUGAUUAAUUCCGUCAUCAAUUUUCAACUGGUUAGCAUGUUGGCCACACAGUCAGGUGAUCAGGAAGAUCUGGGUUCGAUUCUCCGUUGGACAUCUCUGUGUGGAGUCUGCAUGUUCUCCCCGUGCGUGCGUGGGUUUCCUCUGGGUACUGGUUCCCUGUGAUUGGCUGCCAACCAGUCCAGGGUGUACCCUGCCUCUCGUGUAUCCCUCUGGGAUAGGCCCCAGCAUACCCCCUAAUGAGGAUAAGCGGCAUAGAAAAUGGAUGCAUGGAAUUUUCAACUAUAUUCCAAUUCCCAACUGGGCACAUUUCCAGUAUAUUCAUAAUCAUUCCCAUGGACAACUCCCAGCUUUUGCAACCCUACCACAGAAUUUGAGUGUUUUUUUUUUUAUGAAUUCCUGAGUGAGUUAUUGUAUUCGAGGCACGGGGUGCAUCAGGGUCAUGUGCUCAGCCCCAUUGAAAGGUAGCCGCUGACCGCAGUAGUGGUGUACCACUUCCGGGAUGCUGGGGAAGACACAGCUGCUCUGGUCCAGCGUGUAGCCGUGUUCUUUGGUCUGGGCCACCAUGAUGUGAACGCAGCCCUGGCUUGUUCUGGUCAACAACAACAAAAAAAGAUCAUAAAAAUGGAACAUCAUGCACCUUCGGGAUAAAACUUUCAGGCCUGCAGCUGAAGCUCCGCCUCCUGCCGAGUCACGUAUCCAUGGUACCAGCUGGACAGGGGUCGUGUGGGGUCAACGCAGCAAGCCACAGUUUCAGGGCUGCUUCCGGGACUGGAGGAUGACGAGGACCUGAGGAUUUUCUGCGUCCAGCUUUUCUGCCUUGUGUGCUGUCUACUUGCGAGCUGAUGACUCAUGGUGACGCUACCAGGGUUGAAGUUGGGGCUCUUAUCCAGUGUGUCAACACGGAUCAGUCUGCUGAUGUAAGCGUUUGUUGUGGUGGAGCUCUUCGCGCUCUUCAUGGGCUCCUCCAUGACCUGGUCCCCUUUGGAGUUUUUUCGUCCUUUCCCUGCCAAGAGGAGGCUGUCCCAGACUUUGCCGUCUUUCUGGGAGCUGCUCAGGUCUGUGGAGGAGUUCUUGCGGUUUUUGCUGCUGGAUUUGUUGCUCCGUGCGCCGAUCCUGUCUGUACCGUUCUUCAGGUUGAUGGGGAACUCCUUGAACCACCUUGCCAUGGUAGCUCCUCAAAGUUCUCUAAUGGCACCAUGAGCCACAAUGGAGGACUUUAGAAAUCUUUCCAACGAAGGACUUCCUCUUAUCUUGUUUAGAGCAUGUCAUAAAUACUUUUCAAAGCCAUUCAAGCCUAAAAACUACUAAAACUACCAGCUGAAAAGGCUUAUUUUUUAAAUACAUACAUAUAUACGUACAUACUGUAUAUCAAUUAAAAACUACCUUUACUGGAUCCAUUUGGGAUUUUCCUUGCAUCAGAUUGCUCCUUUGGGGACAAUAAACUGUUUUUCUUGCUCCUGGUGGCUUUUACUGUCUUCUCAUGGAAGGAGAGAGUGAAAAGGGGAGGGGUUUGAGAAGUUAAAAAGGGGCAGUCAUAAACUCUUAAAUGGAUAAACAGUGACUAGAUAUUGAUUAAAACUGAUUUAAGCUUU